UAUAGGCUAAGUGUAUAAAACUACUAUUUUUGUUUACUGAUAUUUUAUGUUAAAAUAUAUUUGGUUAUAAAAAACCCAAAAAUGUUAUUGUUUCUCAAAACUAUGCCUCUAUUUACAUUACAGGAAAGGUGCACAUGUAGACAGAGAAAAGUUGAGAUUUUGUCUACCAAACCUAUGUUCAAUCCAUAAUCAGAGUCUUGCUCUGUCUCCCAGGCUGGAGCGCGAUGGCGUGAUCUCAGCUCACUGCAACCUCAACUCACUUCAGUCGAACUUCAAGCGGUUUCCUGCCUCAGCCUCCCAAGUAGCUGGAAUUACAGGCAUGUGCCACCAUUCCCAGUGAUGACCUGCAACUUGGAAGAAACAAAAAGGGAUGGCAACAUCUGGUGGAGGCAAACCACUGUUACGACCCAUUGGAAUGGCUGACAGCAAUCAAACUCCAAAUGGUGCUGCAGACAGAACCAAGCAUGGACAUGCCUAUCUUCCGAGGACCCUUAAAUCAACCCCAGGAGGAGCCUUAGCUGCUGUUGCCCAUACAAUGCCCCUUUUCAGCAUGAAGUGGCCAGAAAGAGUCAUCAUCCAACACCCCCUAAAAGCAGUUAGGGAGACCAUACUGGUCAACAUGGUGAAACCCAGUCUCUACUAAAAGUACAAAAAAAUUAGCUGGGCUUGUUGGCACA